GACAGAGGGUGCAAACGUUGUUCGGAAUUACUGGGCGUAAAGCGCGUGUAGGCGGCCUUGCAGGUCGGAUGUGAAAUCCCUCGGCUCAACCAAGGAAGUGCAUUCGAAACCGCGAGACUCGAGUGUCGGAGAGGAAGGCGGAAUUGUCGGUGUAGAGGUGAAAUUCGUAGAUAUCGACAGGAACACCUGUGGCGAAAGCGGCCUUCUGGACGAACACUGACGCUGAGACGCGACAGCGUGGGGAGCAAGCCGG
rnacentral:rRNA from 1 species